UUAAGCGACUAAGCGUACACGGUGGAUGCCCUGGCAGUCAGAGGCGAUGAAGGACGUGCUAAUCUGCGAUAAGCGUCGGUAAGGUGAUAUGAACCGUUAUAACCGGCGAUUUCCGAAUGGGGAAACCCAGUGUGUUUCGACACACUAUCAUUAACUGAAUCCAUAGGUUAAUGAGGCGAACCGGGGGAACUGAAACAUCUAAGUACCCCGAGGAAAAGAAAUCAACCGAGAUUCCCCCAGUAGCGGCGAGCGAACGGGGAGCAGCCCAGAGCCUGAAUCAGUGUGUGUGUUAGUGGAAGCGUCUGGAAAGGCGCGCGAUACAGGGUGACAGCCCCGUACACAAAAAUGCACAUGCUGUGAGCUCGAUGAGUAGGGCGGGACACGUGGUAUCCUGUCUGAAUAUGGGGGGACCAUCCUCCAAGGCUAAAUACUCCUGACUGACCGAUAGUGAACCAGUACCGUGAGGGAAAGGCGAAAAGAACCCCGGCGAGGGGAGUGAAAAAGAACCUGAAACCGUGUACGUACAAGCAGUGGGAGCACGCUUAGGCGUGUGACUGCGUACCUUUUGUAUAAUGGGUCAGCGACUUAUAUUCUGUAGCAAGGUUAACCGAAUAGGGGAGCCGAAGGGAAACCGAGUCUUAACUGGGCGUUAAGUUGCAGGGUAUAGACCCGAAACCCGGUGAUCUAGCCAUGGGCAGGUUGAAGGUUGGGUAACACUAACUGGAGGACCGAACCGACUAAUGUUGAAAAAUUAGCGGAUGACUUGUGGCUGGGGGUGAAAGGCCAAUCAAACCGGGAGAUAGCUGGUUCUCCCCGAAAGCUAUUUAGGUAGCGCCUCGUGAAUUCAUCUCCGGGGGUAGAGCACUGUUUCGGCAAGGGGGUCAUCCCGACUUACCAACCCGAUGCAAACUGCGAAUACCGGAGAAUGUUAUCACGGGAGACACACGGCGGGUGCUAACGUCCGUCGUGAAGAGGGAAACAACCCAGACCGCCAGCUAAGGUCCCAAAGUCAUGGUUAAGUGGGAAACGAUGUGGGAAGGCCCAGACAGCCAGGAUGUUGGCUUAGAAGCAGCCAUCAUUUAAAGAAAGCGUAAUAGCUCACUGGUCGAGUCGGCCUGCGCGGAAGAUGUAACGGGGCUAAACCAUGCACCGAAGCUGCGGCAGCGACGCUUAUGCGUUGUUGGGUAGGGGAGCGUUCUGUAAGCCUGCGAAGGUGUGCUGUGAGGCAUGCUGGAGGUAUCAGAAGUGCGAAUGCUGACAUAAGUAACGAUAAAGCGGGUGAAAAGCCCGCUCGCCGGAAGACCAAGGGUUCCUGUCCAACGUUAAUCGGGGCAGGGUGAGUCGACCCCUAAGGCGAGGCCGAAAGGCGUAGUCGAUGGGAAACAGGUUAAUAUUCCUGUACUUGGUGUUACUGCGAAGGGGGGACGGAGAAGGCUAUGUUGGCCGGGCGACGGUUGUCCCGGUUUAAGCGUGUAGGCUGGUUUUCCAGGCAAAUCCGGAAAAUCAAGGCUGAGGCGUGAUGACGAGGCACUACGGUGCUGAAGCAACAAAUGCCCUGCUUCCAGGAAAAGCCUCUAAGCAUCAGGUAACAUCAAAUCGUACCCCAAACCGACACAGGUGGUCAGGUAGAGAAUACCAAGGCGCUUGAGAGAACUCGGGUGAAGGAACUAGGCAAAAUGGUGCCGUAACUUCGGGAGAAGGCACGCUGAUAUGUAGGUGAAGCGACUUGCUCGUGGAGCUGAAAUCAGUCGAAGAUACCAGCUGGCUGCAACUGUUUAUUAAAAACACAGCACUGUGCAAACACGAAAGUGGACGUAUACGGUGUGACGCCUGCCCGGUGCCGGAAGGUUAAUUGAUGGGGUUAGCGCAAGCGAAGCUCUUGAUCGAAGCCCCGGUAAACGGCGGCCGUAACUAUAACGGUCCUAAGGUAGCGAAAUUCCUUGUCGGGUAAGUUCCGACCUGCACGAAUGGCGUAAUGAUGGCCAGGCUGUCUCCACCCGAGACUCAGUGAAAUUGAACUCGCUGUGAAGAUGCAGUGUACCCGCGGCAAGACGGAAAGACCCCGUGAACCUUUACUAUAGCUUGACACUGAACAUUGAGCCUUGAUGUGUAGGAUAGGUGGGAGGCUUUGAAGUGUGGACGCCAGUCUGCAUGGAGCCGACCUUGAAAUACCACCCUUUAAUGUUUGAUGUUCUAACGUGGACCCGUAAUCCGGGUUGCGGACAGUGUCUGGUGGGUAGUUUGACUGGGGCGGUCUCCUCCUAAAGAGUAACGGAGGAGCACGAAGGUUGGCUAAUCCUGGUCGGACAUCAGGAGGUUAGUGCAAUGGCAUAAGCCAGCUUGACUGCGAGCGUGACGGCGCGAGCAGGUGCGAAAGCAGGUCAUAGUGAUCCGGUGGUUCUGAAUGGAAGGGCCAUCGCUCAACGGAUAAAAGGUACUCCGGGGAUAACAGGCUGAUACCGCCCAAGAGUUCAUAUCGACGGCGGUGUUUGGCACCUCGAUGUCGGCUCAUCACAUCCUGGGGCUGAAGUAGGUCCCAAGGGUAUGGCUGUUCGCCAUUUAAAGUGGUACGCGAGCUGGGUUUAGAACGUCGUGAGACAGUUCGGUCCCUAUCUGCCGUGGGCGCUGGAGAACUGAGGGGGGCUGCUCCUAGUACGAGAGGACCGGAGUGGACGCAUCACUGGUGUUCGGGUUGUCAUGCCAAUGGCACUGCCCGGUAGCUAAAUGCGGAAGAGAUAAGUGCUGAAAGCAUCUAAGCACGAAACUUGCCCCGAGAUGAGUUCUCCCUGACCCUUUAAGGGUCCUGAAGGAACGUUGAAGACGACGACGUUGAUAGGCCGGGUGUGUAAGCGCAGCGAUGCGUUGAGCUAACCGGUACUAAUGAACCGUGAGGCUUAACCUU
rnacentral:rRNA from 1 species